UUUGAAUUACAAUUCAAAGGGCAAAUCAUCUGUUGUAGGGGGGAUUGUUGGCCCUUGUAAUCAAACCUAGAAGAACAGAUAAUAUUGAAAGCCAAAACUGGUUCUGUACAGUUGAUCAUCAAUAAGUGAUGUCAAUGCGUGUCCUAAGUUCCCUCCAAUGGCAGUGCUUCUAUCAAUUGAUGACUCCAAGUACUGAUCUCUCAACAACUGAUCUUUAAAGAACUGCAGAUUAUAAAGACUAAAGACUUAACAGCUGUUGUUUGUCAAAAUACUGAUGAAGUCUAAGUACUGAUGAUUCAAGGCCUGAUCAACCAUUGAAGAAAGCACUGAUCUGCAACAUC
rnacentral:lncRNA from 1 species